AUUGAACGCUGGCGGCAUGCCUUACACAUGCAGGUCGAACGGCAGCACGGGUGCUUGCGCCUGGUGGCGAGUGGCGGACGGGUGAGUAAUACAUCGGAACAUGUCCUGGAGGGGGGGAUAGCCCGGCGAAAGCCGGAUUAAUACCGCAUACGAUCGACGGAUGAAAGCGGGGGACCUUCGGGCCUCGCGCUAUCGGGUUGGCCGAUGGCUGAUUAGCUAGUUGGUGGGGUAAAGGCCUACCAAGGCGACGAUCAGUAGCUGGUCUGAGAGGACGACCAGCCACACUGGGACUGAGACACGGCCCAGACUCCUACGGGAGGCAGCAGUGGGGAAUUUUGGACAAUGGGCGAAAGCCUGAUCCAGCAAUGCCGCGUGUGUGAAGAAGGCCUUCGGGUUGUAAAGCACUUUUGUCCGGAAAGAAAUCCUUGGCUCUAAUACAGUCGGGGGAUGACGGUACCGGAAGAAUAAGCACCGGCUAACUACGUG
rnacentral:rRNA from 1 species